UACGUAGGGUGCGAGCGUUGUCCGGAAUUAUUGGGCGUAAAGAGCUCGUAGGCGGUCUGUCGCGUCUGCUGUGAAAACUGGGGGCUCAACCCCCAGCCUGCAGUGGGUACGGGCAGACUAGAGUGCGGUAGGGGAGAUUGGAACUCCUGGUGUAGCGGUGGAAUGCGCAGAUAUCAGGAAGAACACCGAUGGCGAAGGCAGAUCUCUGG
rnacentral:rRNA from 1 species